CAGGGAGACAAACAACGAUUUUGAUGUCUGAGUUAUUUAUUCUUAGGCCAAAAUCCUGUCACCUUAGGUCGAUCGGUACCUCAACUUUGAAGCUAAGAGAGUUCCAGCAAUGGUUGUCUGCUUAGUGGAGAUUUUUAGUUCCUAAACUUUGUCUAGUUCACAACCCAUUAGGGAUGAGACUCCUGGGCCAUUAGCUCAGGUGGUUAGAGCGCACCCCUGAUAAGGGUGAGGUCCCUGGUUCAAGUCCAGGAUGGCCCAUUCGGUGUAGGGGGUUUAGCUCAGUUGGUAGAGCGCCUGCUUUGCAAGCAGGAUGUCAGGAGUUCGAGUCUCCUAACCUCCACUGACUGCAAAGAAUCCCCAUCUCCAAAACCUGGAGUAUGAACUCGUAUGGAUUGUGAUUUAGAUAUGUCCGCUAGAUGACCCUAGCUUCUUGUCAUUUUAAGGCAUGGAAAUGAUUCCAUGAUCUGAUUGAUAGGAU
rnacentral:tRNA from 1 species